AUUGUUGUAAAUGUAUCUUUUUCUGGUUUUUUUUUUUGAAAAAUAUAUCUUCUUCUGAGUUUCAACGUCUUUGUUGAAACACAAAAUUGUCUCAAACAUUUAUAUCUCUUCUCUGAGGUUUAGUUAAAUUUUUUUUGUCUUCUUCUUCUUCUUCUUCUUCUCAAUUUAUCGAUAGUUGUAAGAAUGAAUAUAACAAGUUUUAUUUAUUUUUUAUCUUGUUUAGGAUUAUGGAUUUCAUGGAUUCAGAGAAACAACCUCCAGAUGAUUCACCGCAUUUAGAAACAAGUUUCAAUGCGCCUCCUCCACUUGCUCCAGAAUGUAAAAGCUUCAAGUGGAAAAUACAAGUGAUAGGUAAUAAAUAUAAUCUAAACUGAUCACUACUUUUAAUAUUAAUAGAAUUUUUUUUUCAAAGAAAUUGUUAAUUAGACAUUUAGUCAACAAGGUAUACACGCAUGAUUUUAUAUUUCUCUUUUAUUUGGUAUCUUAUUAUUUUAUUGAACAUAUUAGAUGGUGGAAACUUGUAAGCCAUAUUUUUCUCUGCAUGACUCUAUCUUAUUGUCUUCUCACUAGACUUAGUUUUAUAUUAUGUACUAAUUUAUUUUUAUCGUCUAUGUGAUGUGUUUAUCAAUAAGAUUCUGAGGGCAGUGUAGAAGGCAAAAUGGUGACAUCUAAAGAUGUAUGGAAACUUCAGAGCAGUAAAGUGAUCGUGCAUUUUGAUGAAAAUAGCGGUCAACCAAUUGGGGAUUCUGGUGGUUUACUCGGAUCAUGGUUAGGUCAAUUAAGCAAUGAUGUGAAUUUGCUACCUAUCAAUUACAGUAAUUGGAGGAUGGUCAAUAUUCACACUAAAAGAAAAGCGUGGGAUGUUAUUCAGGUAGUUUCUGCCAUCAUUUCAUCUCUAUAUAUUUUCUUGAUCAAGUAAUGUUUUGUGAUAUAUGUAUUAUUUUAAUGAAUUGUUGGGUAUUGUUUUUUCAGUCCAAAUUCUGGUUUGAUGAUCCAACGAUGAGAAAGGGAUAUGUGAUGAGUGCAUUGGGAAGCAGAUGCAAAGAUGUCAAACUACGUCUUUGGAAAGAACACAAACGAAAUGAUCAACUUCAAACAUUGCAGAAUCGACCCAAUAAUGUUCCUGAAGAACAAUGGGAGCAUUUUGUGCACAUGAGAUUUACUGAAAAAUGGAAGAAAAUGCAAGAGAGGAAUACAAAGAACCAAAAAAAACAUACUAUGCCUCAUGUAUGUGGAAGAAAGAGUUUCUCGAGAAAAAGAAAUGAUAUAGUAAGUAACAUUCAUAGUUAUGAUAUAAAACUAGUUUAUUAUACUAAUUUUGUUUAUGAAGACAAUCAGAACCGAAAAAACUCCAUGUCGAGCAGAGUUUUUUAUUGAGACGCGCACGAAACCUGAUGGAAGCUUUGUAUGUGAAGAGGCAAAAACACGAGCGGAAGCGCUUACAACUUUGUUGAAUCAAAAUUCUCAUGGCACAAGCAAUGUUGCAGCCACACUGGAUGAUGAAUUUGCUCAAGUUUUUGGUCCGGAGCGUCCAGGACGAGUACGUUGUGUUGGUCGAGGACCUACACCAUCAAAAUUGGUGAGACGUUGUACUGCAACUAGACAAGAGGUGGACAAUUCUGAAAUGGUCGUUGCGUUGCAGACACAAGUGAAAGAACUAUCAAAUCAAGUUAAGGGAAUGAGUACUUUCAUCCAACAAAUAAUUGGUACUUCAACCGGUGAACAUGUAAUAAUAUUUAUAAUAAUAGUCUAUAAGUUAAAAUAUCUCAUUAUAUAUUAUAUAUAAAACUAAUACAUUAAAAUAAAUACUUAGGCAAGAGCAUGGGCUGCAAGUUUUGCAGUAGCUUUUGCUAACAUACCAAACCCACCUUUCGCAAACAUACCGACUCCAUCUAAUCCUAAUCAGGUAAAUAGUGUGUUUAAGUUUAAAGAAAAAGAUUGUAUGAUACAUAACAAUUUAUAUUAUUUUAUUUCAGGAAAUGCAAUGAUGCGGGUGUCCAUGGAUAUUCAAAUGUUGGAAACUAUGCUGGUGAUCAUCAUUAACAUUAGUUUAGCAACAUUUUUCUACAAUGUUUGUUUAAUUUAUUUCUGUUUUGUGAAUUUGUAUUAUGGGAUGAAUAUGUAAUUCAGAUGCUUGUAGAUUAAUUAGUAAUUCAGAUUUGUGUUUUUCUUUAAAAAAAUAUUUUUUCGUUUUCUAAAAUAUAAUAUUUUUAAUAUUAAUAAUAAAUACGGAAAUAAAAAAUAUUUUCAUCACUUUUUAUAAAUGAUACAUUUAAUUAGAAUCAUUUGUGAAAACUGAAAUAAAUGUAACAUCAAUUAUAAGUAAAUGAUACCAAUACUUUAAAUCGGUAACUAUAUAAUGAUACAUUUUUGAAUCACUUCUUAAAAUUGAUAUUAAUUAUAUGUCAGUUAUUUAUAAGUGAUACAAAUUAUUAAAUCAAUUAUUUUAAUUGAUAGAAAUACUUACAUCAUUUAGUAUAUAGUUGAUGUAAGAACUAAUAUCAUUUAUCAGAAAUUGAUACAUAAUAACAUCAUUUAUGUAAAUGAUGUAAAUAAUUUAUAUUUUUGUAUCAAUUAUUAAAUGAAUUGAUG